CGCCUUGCCCUCUCACAAUCCUCACGUUCAGGAUUCAACUCUGCGUCUCUGCCUCUGCGACUUUGCAUCGCGAACUCGCGGUUCCAAGUCUUUCUCGCGUGGUCGUCGGCCGCAUCUGCGAAUGGCGUCACCGACUCACCGCCCUCCCAAGUCCCAGCCUCACCGCCCUCUGGCUCCUCCCAAGUCCUAGUCUUUUCUGCUGCUGCGAAGUGCGAACUCUGCUGUUGCGAAGUGCGAACUCUGCUGCUCCCAAGUCCCAGUCCGGCCUUUGCUGCUCACCGGCCUCACCGUUCCACACUUCCACGUCUCUGGUUCUCUGCUAGUUAUUACUGAAGAGUUACUACUUGAGCGCUAGCCUUGAGAAAUGGGAAUUGAAGAUCAUUUGUUUUGUUAUGCAUUUGUAUUUGGACUUGUUUUGUUAUGUAUUUGGAUUUUGGACUUUUGAAGAAGUUUGAAACAGUUAUAAGUGUUUGAAGUUUGAACAUUUUAUGAUUAUGUUCUUUUGUUUGAAA